AUUGUGUGCCCGUGCAGUUGUUAUUAAAUGAAUUGAUUCUCAUUUGACUGGCGACGAUAAUCUGAUGUUUUGUGCGAAUCUGUAGUUCAAUGCCUAACAUACGAGGUGGUGCUUAUAAUGAUAGCACUAAGACUAUCAUUCAGCCUCUCAGGUGGAGAUUGUGUAUGCUUGGGUGUAUGCGAUGUAUAUGUGUGUAUGUGUAUAUAUGUAUGCAUGCGUGCCGAUCGCCUUAAGUCUUCCUAAAGUGAUGACUUGGAGGUCCUACGAGAUAAGUGAAAUACACAUAACCAACAUUCUUCUUCCUUUUCGGUGCAUAUCUGUGCUAAGCGAGCGAGUAUUCAAAAAUUCUUGAGUCCUCCCCACAGACCGCAAUGAACAUGCAUGCAUGCAUGCAUGCAUGAACGCAUGUGCAUACGUUGGUCGGUCGAUCUGUUGCACUGCUUGCAGUACCUAUGUUGUGCGCUUUUGAAUGCAGCGUAGCGCACAUAAAUUUAAAGCUUUUUAAGGGCAAGGCGCUAACCCUGAUAUUUAUCGAUAUGACAAUAAAAGGCGCAACAUAUGGACCAACUACCAACUAACCACGUACUACGGCUUCUGCAUUAAAAUAACAACAGCAACGAGGCGAGAUUCACUGACAAUAAGUCGGACAGAAAGUUUAAGGAGCACAACCUUGCACUCAACUCUACCAUGAAUGUAUACAAACAAAGUCGUAACAUAUAUAUAUGUAUAUGUUCGAUCACGCCGCCGUGAUAAGUGAGCGUACACAUCUACUAGGGUUUAUAUAUUGUAAAAGAGAGUUGAAACAGAGCUUUACCGACCGAGCUUACCAUUUGGUUGGUACUUGCUGCCGAUGCUGUUGCUGCUGCUGCUGCUGCUGCUGCUGCUGCUGCUGUUACUGUUGCUGCUUUGUUCUGUGUCCUGUGGGUUUGCAUUUAUCUUAUUUUUUUUAUGAAACUCUCCACCAAAUUUGGUUACACCACCACAUAGCUGCAGAGAUAAUCGGUCCAGUGCCAGUUGAUAGUCUUCGUUGUGAUGCUACUGCUUUACUGUUCCUGUUUUGUCAUUAUCAGCAUUCGCACAAACACACGCACACGCGUAUACAAUUGUUGGAAUUUUUUUUUUGUCUAUAUCUUUUUAGCACGUUAAUUGCGUGCUUAGUUAGAUGCCGAAUAAACUUCGCAACAGAAAUUUAUAAACAGGAACAAACUAGUCAAUCGUGCUCAAUCGUUGUACGGAAUCAAUCACCAAAUGUAAGUCUGACGAUAUUUCAAAGUACGAUUGAAGAGUUAAAUAUAUCUGCACUAGAAUUACGGAUAAACGGCACAUUUUUAAGAAGAAAAUCCCGCAUUAAGCGCUGAAGGAUCUGCUUGGCUCCCAAGUUCCUUCGCGCGUAAUGAAGAUGAAAGGC